CGAGGGAGCGGCGCGGGCCGCGGAGGGGGAGGGCCGGGGGGCUGAGGGAAGGGCCGUGCCCGGACUGCGCAGCUCCGCGGGCGGCGCGCCGCUGGAGCUCGGGGAGCGACGGCACGGCGCCCGUACGCGGCUGUGCGCUGCCGUGCGAGCCGGGCCGGGGAUCGGCCGGCCUUCCGCGUGGGAUGUCACGGGCCGACAAGGCGCCGAGCGAGACGGAGCACGGCGAGCAGCGAGGGGCGGAUUGGGCGCUGCCCGCGGACGUGCUGCGCGUCGCCGAGGAGCGACCGGGACCUCGCGCGGCCGUGAGGAAGGGAAGCGGCGGCCUCCAGCCCGGGCUGCGUGCCGAACUCCGCCGUCGAGGCACGGCCGGACGUGAGCGCCACGUACCGCCCUGAGCGGCGGCGGGCUCGGAGGACGCGGAGGACUUGGCCGCUCCCGUUUUGGAGGAGAAGAGAGCUGUCACAGCUCAAACGGACAACCCUUUCGGAGGAUGGGGCUUGCUGGGUGGAAGCUGCUUGAUGGCGCACGGCUUGCAGGACCAGCAAGCCUUGUGGCCAGCAGUCCGGACUGCCAGCAUCAACCCUGCUGCCUGCAAUUGCAGCUGGGGCAGGAUGUGACUGCCAAGGACAAGCUGCUGUGAGUGUGAUGUGGUGCAGCAUUAUUUGUGGAUGGGGGGGAGGAAGGGGUAAGUAGUACGUGCUGCUAGGGAGGACCAGUCUUGCUUUAUGAGUUGAAACAGGCCCAAUUUAUCAUUCUCGUUAAUGUCACCACACAAUUUCUAAUGCUCCCAUAUAUAUCUGUGUACGUACAUUUAAUGGGAAAUGUUCUCUCUUCUGUCGUACCCACAAAGGCUGGCUGACUCUGGACACUACCAGCUGGCUGUUUUCCCAGAUAACUGCCUUGGCAGCUCAAGGUAACAUGCUGCUGAUGCUGACCACAAGGGAUCAUUCUCUUAGGGCCUGCUAGCAGUCCCUGAGGCACCAGGCAUGGUGCUGAGCAUGCUUUCCCAGUGGACCCCCAAGGGACAGCCCAGAGCUUUCACUUUCCAUUUUUGUAAGCCUUUAUAUAGGGACUUUCCUAAUACUGCAUUUUCAACAUUACUGGCAUGUAAUUGCAGCCUGUGUGUUGAGUCUGGGAACAUUAGCAUGUAUGUGUUGGCUGGAAAAGUGUGUCUUGAAGGGCAAAAUGAUCCAGUUCUCUCAUCCCCCAGGCUUUGGGCCAGUAAUGAAGAAAAAUGAACAACCUGCAAGUAGGAAGGUUUUCUUUCCUAGCUGCCUGCAGGCAGACCCUAGGAACAGAAACAGAACUAUGGCACCUGAUAUAUGCAGCAGGUAAUUUCCAGCAAUCUAAUCAUGAUAUCUUUCAGGAGAAUACUGUUCGUUUUUUUUCCUACCUCUACUUAUUACAAAAACCCUCUCAAAUGUAUCCAAAAUCAACUGUUGUAAAACAAUUGUAGAACGUUGCAAAACAUUGCUGUUGAUAUGACAAGAGGAUGAAAUUGAGUUGUAAUACAAUAGGCAAUUGCCUGGGCCCUAAGGACA